rnacentral:rRNA from 1 species
GAGGAAUAAGCAUCGGCUAACUCCGUGCCAGCAGCCGCGGUAAUACGGGGGAUGCAAGCGUUAUCCGGAAUCAUUGGGCGUAAAGCGCCUGUAGGUUGUUUAUUAAGUCUGUGGUUAAAGACUAGGGCUUAACCCUGGGAAAGCAAUGGAAACUAAUAGACUAGAGUAUGGCGGGGGUAGAGGGAAUUUCUAGUGUAGCGGUGAAAUGCGUAGAUAUUAGAAAGAACACCGGUGGCGAAAGCGCUCUACUGGACCAUUACUGACACUCAGAGGCGAAAGCUAGGGUAGCAAAAGGGAUUAGAUACCCCUGUAGUCCUAGCCGUAAACGAUGGAUACUAGAUGUUGUGCAUAAAGUACAGUAUCGCAGCUAACGCGUUAAGUAUCCCGCCUGGGGAGUACGCUCGCAAGGGUGAAACUCAAAGGAAUUGACGGGGGCCCGCACAAGCGGUGGAGCAUGUGGUUUAAUUCGAUGCAACGCGAAGAACCUUACCAGGGCUUGACAUACUACGAAUUCUCUUGAAAAAGAGAAGUGCCUUCGGGAAUGUAGAUACAGGUGGUGCAUGGCUGUCGUCAGCUCGUGUCGUGAGAUGUUGGGUUAAGUCCCGCAACGAGCGCAACCCUUAUUUUUAGUUACCAAUUCGUUGGGUUCUCUAGAAAGACUGCCGGUGACAAACCGGAGGAAGGUGAGGAUGACGUCAAGUCAGCAUGCCCCUUAUGUCCUGGGCUACACACGUGCUACAAUGGCGGAGACAAAGAGUCGCGAGCUCGCGAGAGUCAGCUAAUCUCAUAAACUUCGCCUAAGUUCAGAUUGCAGGCUGCAACUCGCCAUACAUGAAG